GCUAAACGCGAAGAACCUUACCAAGGCUUGACAUAUACCUGAAAAGGCUGGAAACAGUCUCCCCGCAAGGCAGGUAUACAGGUGGUGCAUGGUUGUCGUCAGCUCGUGUCGUGAGAUGUUGGGUUAAGUCCCGCAACGAGCGCAACCCUCGUUCUAUGUUGCCAGCACGUAAUGGUGGGAACUCAUAGGAGACUGCCGGGGUCAACUCGGAGGAAGGUGGGGAUGACGUCAAAUCAUCAUGCCCCUUAUGUCUUGGGCUUCACGCAUGCUACAAUGGCCGGUACAAAGGGCUGCAAUACCGCAAGGUGGAGCGAAUCCCAAAAAGCCGGUCUCAGUUCGGAUUGAGGUCUGCAACUCGACCUCAUGAAGUCGGAGUCGCUAGUAAUCGCAGAUCAGCAACGCUGCGGUGAAUACGUUCCCGGGUCUUGUACACACCG
rnacentral:rRNA from 1 species